rnacentral:rRNA from 1 species
CCUACGGGAGGCAGCAGUCGGGAAUAUUGCGCAAUGGAGGAAACUCUGAUGCAGUGACGCCGCGUGCAGGAAGAAGGCCUUCGGAUUGUAAACUGCUUUAGACAGGGAAGAAACAAGACAGUAACUGUAAAAUAAACUCCGGCUAACUACGUGCCGGCAGCCGCGGUAAUACGGAGGGAGCAAGCGUUAUCCGGAAUUAUUGGGGGUAAAGGGUGCGUAGACGGGAAGUCAAGUUGAUGGUGUAAUCCCUCGGCCUAACUGAUGAACUGCCACCAAAACUAACUUGCUUGAGUGCUGGAGAGGAAAGUGGAAUUCCUAGUGUAGCGGUGAAAUGCGUAGAUAUUAGGAGGAACACCAGUGGCGAAGGCGACUUUCUGGACAGUAACUGACGUUGAGGCACGAAAGUGUGGGGAGCAAACAGGAUUAGAUACCCUAGUAGUC